GAUGAACGCUGGCGGCGUGCUUAACACAUGCAAGUCGAACGGAAAGGCCCAAGCUUGCUUGGGUACUCGAGUGGCGAACGGGUGAGUAACACGUGGGUGAUCUGCCCUGCACUUCGGGAUAAGCCUGGGAAACUGGGUCUAAUACCGGAUAGGACGAUGGUUUGGAUGCCAUUGUGGAAAGUUUUUUCGGUGUGGGAUGAGCUCGCGGCCUAUCAGCUUGUUGGUGGGGUAAUGGCCUACCAAGGCGUCGACGGGUAGCCGGCCUGAGAGGGUGUACGGCCACAUUGGGACUGUGAUACGGCCCAGACUCCUACGGGAGGCAGCAGUGGGGAAUAUUGCACAAUGGGCGCAAGCCUGAUGCAGCGACGCCGCGUGGGGGAUGACGGCCUUCGGUUUGUAAACUCCUUUCGCUAGGGACGAAGCGUUUUUGUGACGGUACCUGGAGAAGAAGCACCGGCUAAGUACGUG
rnacentral:rRNA from 1 species